rnacentral:rRNA from 1 species
UACGAAGGGGGCUAGCGUUGCUCGGAAUCACUGGGCGUAAAGGGUGCGUAGGCGGGUUUUUAAGUCAGAGGUGAAAUCCUGGAGCUCAACUCCAGAACUGCCUUUGAUACUGAAAGUCUUGAGUAUGGGAGAGGUGAGUGGAACUGCGAGUGUAGAGGUGAAAUUCGUAGAUAUUCGCAAGAACACCAGUGGCGGAGGCGGCUCACUGGCCCAUUACUGACGCUGAGGCACGAAAGCGUGGGGAGCAAACAGG